GCUUACGGCCAUACCACUCUGAACACGCCCGAUCUCGUCUGAUCUCGGAAGCUAAGCAGGGUCGGGCCUGGUUAGUACUUGGAUGGGAGACCGCCUGGGAAUACCAGGUGCUGUAAGCAUUU
rnacentral:rRNA from 1 species